rnacentral:lncRNA from 1 species
GAACAGUUUGCAGUAGCUCUAGACCUAAGACAGACACAUGUGCAGGACACAGCCACGGUAAAGGCUGCAGAACUUGCCGGCCAAUGGGUAGAUGAGGCUGAACCAAUACAUUCUGGGUCUGCAUGUGGAAGAAUGAGGCUUGCAGCCAACGGCCGUCCACCUCUCUGAUGAGGAUCAGGUUGAAGAUUCCACAAGAGAUAGAGAGUUACCAAGGCUGCUGAAACAGCUGGGCUUAAGGAGAGCCUGGGAGAGCCCCAGGAAGGAGCAUCCAGGCCAGGUCUCAUGUCCUCAGAGGUUUGAGAGUAAGAAGAGCUUGUGUUUGUCUUCCUAUCUGCAUGCCUGUUUUAGCAAGUUCUGUCACCCAGAACUGGAGAACAUUCCUGCAUUUCAGACUCUAUUUCCUUUCUUCCAUCAUACCCUGAUUCUGAGGGUCCCUGGCCCAGCUCUGUGGUUUGUGUCUCACAGAGCCUGGAGAUACUUGCCAGGUUGUGUCUACAGGGCCUCACUUAUUGAGAUGAUCAUAGCCCCUUGGUUGUGGGUUCCCCCCCUUUCCUCUUCAGACAGACAUCCUGGUUUGGGGGAGUCUGAGGCUUUGUUGCUACAAGUCAAGGUAGGUCUGUGCUGCUCUGAGGGAAGCCUGAAGGCCUGGCAGAGCCUUGGAUGCACAAUGAGUACCAGAGGCAUCAGAUGAUGUCUCUAAAAAUAGGGAUGGGACCCCACCCUUGAGAGCACAUAAUAGGCUAACAUCCAGAGCUGGUAGCCACACUGAAAAUGCCUGGCUAGAAGGCAGUGUUGAGGAGGGAGAAAGAUCAAGGCUCGAGACUUCUGAGCUGAAAUAGACAAUUCCACAUUUGGGGUCAUAGGAGGUCAGGGCUGGGGGUGGGAGAUGAAUCGGGAGCUGAGAUCGGGUCCACAAUGGCCUGUAUUCUCCCUUGUUGCAUUUGUGGUACGAAAUCAGAGAAUCCUUGAAAUGAACGUGUCUUAGAAGACAGCAGCUCUCUCAAUUGGUAUUCUACAACAUCUCUGAGUUCAUGAGAGUGUCUCAGGGUGAGUGCUGUCCUGUGAGACACUGGGGACAUUAUUAGACUGAAAAUUGCUCAUGCUUAACCUGAAGUUAAACAAAUCCAAAUGUGAGGCCUUUAGGUGGAACAGCCAUUUAAAAUCCAAAGCCUGUGUUAAAUCAUGCAUUAAAAAGGGGAUUUCCAAGGUAGAGCUGACGGGGACUGCAGGUGCAAAGUCCUCACAGAAGAUGUGGUCAGGCAUUCUCUACUCUAGUUGAUGGCUGCAGUUUGGUGCUGAGCCUGUGCUUCUGUGCUUAUGAAGACACGACCCUGGGAAUGAAUGUGUCUUAGAAGACAGCAGCUCUCAAUCGGUAUUCUACCGAGCUGGGUGUACUGCAGACACAUCAUGCUGCCUGAGGCAUGUUUGGGAUAGCUUAACACAAGCUGUCAGCAUAGUUCUUAGGAAGUGGUUGUGCGGAGACUCAAAUCUAAAGAGUUCUCAUCGGAUCAUUUAUUAUUUAUAGUCAUUUUGAACGUUAGAGCGUUAGGUACGCUCACAUUACUGUUCAUGCAAUCUAGUACUGAAAUUUCACGAUCAUUAAACAGAAAUUCCGUAUUUCCUCUUCCCCUCAGCUCUGCCUUCAACCCCUGAAAACACAACUUUUUGUCUAUUAGUUUAACUUCUCUAGG